rnacentral:lncRNA from 1 species
GGACACUUCACAUAAAUGGAAUCCUACAAAAUCUGGUGUUUUGUGACUGGCUUCUUUCACUUAGCAUACUAUUUUCAAGGUCUUCCAUAUUGUAGCAUGUCUCAGUUCUUUAUUUCUUUUUAUUGACAAAUAACAUUCCACUGUUUGGAUAUGCCACAUUUUCAUCCAUUCAUCUAUAGAUGGACAUUUGGAUUGGUUCCACCUUUUUGAGAACAUAAAAAAUACUGCUGUGAACAUCCACGUACAAAUUUUUUAUGUGAACAUAUGUUUUCAAUUCUCUUGGGUAUGUAUCUAGGAGUGAAAUUGCUAAGUCAUAUGUUAACUCUAUCAUUACCUUUUUGAGGAACUUACAGCUGUUUUCCACAGCAGCUGCACCAUUUUACAUUCUUACCAGCAUGUGUAAGGGUUCUGAUUUCUCCACAUCCCUGCCAACAUUUGUUAUUGUCACUCUUUUUCAUUUCAGCCAUCCUGGUGUGGGGUGAAGUGGUAUCUCACUGUGAUUUCAUUUUGCUUUUCCUUAACAACUAAUGAUGUUGGAUGUCUUUUCAUCUACCUACUUAACAUUGGUUGGAUAUCUUUGUACUUUUCCAACACCGCAUUUCUGUCUUCUGGGAAAUUUAGGCUACUGCAUCCUUAUGAAAAAUGUUUGGGGCAGGAAUCAUGAAUAAUGUGAUGCCCAUCUAUUAUACUGCACACUUUCAAGAUGGUGCCAUAUUUUUGGUGAUCAUAUUGGAACUCUUGUUAUCCCUGAAUAAGUUUUCCAAGAAAGGAUUGUAUUGAAGUACGUGAUUAAAUAUUUACAUGGUUGGCUCUGAUUGAUUGGCUGAUACUUAGUUACAUCAAAGCUCAUGCGGUAUCUUGCAACACAUCUUCACUUUGCUAUUUCAACAAUUACAGUUUAAAAGUUCUUUUUUUAAAAAACCCCAGAAUUUGUGUUACGGCUUUUUGAUAGGGUUUUUUUGAGUGAAGGACCAUAUGCAUAGGAAAGAAAGAUAUUUUGAAAGACUGCUGAAAACUUCU